UCACCCCUUUUCAAUACAAAAGUCUAUAAAAAUUACCUUAUGCCUUUUAAACCAUUGUAUUUUGAUGUGCAGAGGAUAUAUAACUUAUCUCUGUAGUUUCCCAGGUCUUCAGAUUGAGAAUAGUUAUACUUGGGGAGCUGUGCUUGAUAAAUAGUAUCUGGAGAGUGUCAUACACACUUGGAUGAGAUUCUGGACUUUGAACUUAUGUCUGGUGCCAUAACAGGACACAUACCUCUACUGCCCUGAACUGCUAUUUAAGAAGUCUGGCUGCUACUAAACCUCCAUGCUGGAGAGACCAUGUGGAAAGACCAUAUAGAGUACAGCUGCCUUGGAGCUCUGGGACUUGCUCGUGGUGAACACCUCUGACAAGACUUCAGUGUCUUCUGGUCACUUGCCCAGUUAUUCCUUCUGGUAGGAAAAGGGCUUCUUAAAGCACAUAGAAAGUCUUUCUGCCUAGGUCUGACCAGAAGACAUUCCAAAUGAUGACGGAGAGACGACUAUUGGUGUAGUCCACACAGAGAAGUUCUGUACUACUUCCUAGUUUGUGAUCUUGGGCAAGUCAUCAAAAUGUUCUGAACUUAAGUUUAGCACCCAUAAAAGCACUACAAUGUUUACCCCACAGGACUGGAUAGUUAAAUGAGGACUUUGACCACUGAUGCAAAUAUGUACUGCAAUAUUUAGGUGUCCUGCAGGAGAAAAUAAAAUUUAAUUUUGUGUGCAUGGGGAAACCACCUAGACAUGAGACCCCCAUAUUGUAAGCUUUUGGACAAGUGGAUCUAGUGUCUUUAUGGGAUCUCCUCAGGCUGUUUCUACAUUUGGGCUCAGGAUGGCACACCCUAACUAACUAUGGCGGAAUUAUUUGAUUAAAAGAAAGGGAAAAAUAGUCUGCUAGCAGCUAUUUAUAUUAAAACAAAUGAAGGCACAAAUUAGUAGGACUCCAGAGGCGAUGAGUGAAGGCGUGGAAGACAGCCAUAGAUGAAAAGGAGUCCCACGCCAGCGAAUCCAGCAUAAAGGAAGAAGGCUCCUGCAAUGGAAAAUAGUACAUAUUUGUACGUACAGUCCUAGGUUGGAAAGAGUACUUGAUUUUGACUUUUCUUUCUGGUCAAUCAUGUAACUGUGGUCUGACAUAGAAUCAAAAAAUAACUACCAGCCUGCUUUACUGCUUUAUUGUUCUAGCUCUGUGA